rnacentral:rRNA from 1 species
UAGUAACUGCGAGUGAAGCGGGAAAAGCUCAAAUUUAAAAUCUGGCGGUCUUUGGCUGUCCGAGUUGUAGUCUGGAGAAGCGUUUUCCGCGCUGGACCGUGUACAAGUCCCUUGGAAUAGGGCGUCAUAGAGGGUGAGAAUCCCGUCUUUGACACGGACUACCAGUGCUUUGUGAUGCGCUCUCAAAGAGUCGAGUUGUUUGGGAAUGCAGCUCAAAAUGGGUGGUAAAUUCCAUCUAAAGCUAAAUAUUGGCGAGAGACCGAUAGCGAACAAGUACCGUGAGGGAAAGAUGAAAAGCACUUUGGAAAGAGAGUUAAACAGUACGUGAAAUUGCUAAAAGGGAAACGCUUGAAGUCAGUCGCGUUAUGCAGAACUCAGCCUGGCUUUUGCUUGGUGUAUUUUCUGUAUGACGGGCCAGCAUCAAUUUUGGCCGCUGGAAAAAGGCCUCAGAAAUGUGGCACCUUCGGGUGUGUUAUAGUCUGAGGUCAUAUACAGCGGCUGGGAUUGAGGUCUGCAGCACGCCUUUAUGGCUGGGGUUCGCCCACAUUCGUGCUUAGGAUGCUGGCGUAAUGGCUUUAAACGACCCGUCUUGAAACACGGACCAAGGAGUCUAACAUGCCUGCGAGUGUUUGGGUGGAAAACCCGAGCGCGCAAUGAAAGUGAAAGUUGAGAUCCCUGUCGUGGGGAGCAUCGACGCCCGGACCAGACCUUUUGUGACGGAUCUGCGGUAGAGCAUGUAUGUUGGGACCCGAAAGAUGGUGAACUAUGCCUGAAUAGGGUGAAGCCAGAGGAAACUCUGGUGGAGGCUCGUAGCGAUUCUGACGUGCAAAUCGAUCGUCAAAUUUGGGUAUAGGGGCGAAAGACUAAUCGAACCAUCUAGUAGCU